AUCGCCGCUGCUAAGCUAUCCCUCGCUGCUAAGCUAUCCCUCGCUGCUAAGCUAUCCCUCGCUGCUAAGCUAUCACUGCUAAUCUAUCUAUUGCUGCAAGCUAUCGCUCGCUGCUAAGCUAUCGCUGCCAACCUAUCUAUCGCUGCCAAUUUAUCUACCACUGCCAAUCUAUCUAUUGCUGCUAAUCUAUCGCUGCCAACCUAUCUAUCGCUGCCAAUUUAUCUACCACUGCCAAUCUAUCUAUUGCUGCUAAUCUAUCGCUGCCAACCUAUCUAUCGCUGCCAAUUUAUCUACCACUGCCAAUCUAUCUAUUGCUGCUAAUCUAUCGCCGCUGCCAAUCUAUCCCUCACUGCUAAGCUAUCCCUCGCUGCUAAGCUAUCACAGCCAAUCUAUCGCUGCUAAUCUAUCGCUGCCAACCUAUCUACCGCGGCGAAUCUAUCUAUCGCUGCCAAUUUAUCUACCACUGCCAAUCUAUCUAUCGCUGCCAAUCUAUUGCUGCUAAUCUAUCGCUGCUAAUCUAUCACUGCUGCCAAUCUAUCUUUCGCUGCUAAUCUAUCGCCGCUGCCAAUCUAUCCCUCGCUGCUAAGCUAUCCCUCGCUGCUAAGCUAUCCCUCACUACUAAGCUAUCUAUCACUGCUAAUCUAUCGCUGCCAACCUAUCUAUCACUGCCAAUCUAUCUAUCGCUGCUAAUCUAUCGCUGCUAAUCUAUCGCUGCUAAUCUAUCGCUGCUAAUCUAUCGCUGCUAAUCUAUCGCUGCCAACCUAUCUACCGCGGCGAAUCUAUCUAUCACUAUCAUUACUAGUUCAAAAUAGAACUAGAGCAUAAAUACACUAAACUUCUUUUGAUAGGUAAUGAUUUUUGGUAACGCUCAUAGCAUUAUAUCAUCUAUAUAGGGUAAAUCAUGGUCCCAUUUGGUCCCAUUUUAACAAAAUGGGACCAAAUGGGAUCAGAAUCAGUAAUUUAUAAGAAGAACAUGACCUGGGACUAGAUUUAUAAUAUAAACAGUGUAAAGUGACUAAUUUAAUAAACACUAUAUGGGACCAGGACUAAGAAAUUUGAUAAUGAGACUGG
rnacentral:sRNA from 1 species